UUCCAGACUCCUACGGGAGGCAGCAGUGAGGAAUAUUGGUCAAUGGGCGGGAGCCUGAACCAGCCAAGCCGCGUGAAGGAAGAAGGCGCCAGGCGUCGUAAACUUCUUUUGUCGGGGAACAAAGGGCGCCACGUGUGGCGUUGUGAGUGUACCCGAAGAAAAAGCAUCGGCUAACUCCGUGCCAGCAGCCGCGGUAAUACGGAGGGUGCAACCGUUGUCCGGAAUCAUUGGGCGUAAAGAGUUCGUAGGCGGUAUGUUAAGUCUGGUGUUAAAUGCAGAAGCUCAACUUCUGUUCGGCACUGGAUACUGGCAAACUAGAAUGCGGUAGAGGUAAAGGGAAUUCCUGGUGUAGCGGUGAAAUGCUUAGAUAUCAGGAGGAACAUCGGUGGCGUAAGCGCUUUACUGGGCCGUAAUUGACGCUGAGGAACGAAAGCCAGGGUAGCAAAUGGGAUUAGAUACCCUGGUAU
rnacentral:rRNA from 1 species